rnacentral:tRNA from 1 species
GCACCCGUAGCUCAGCCGGAUAGAGCGUUGCCCUCCGAAGGCAAAGGUCACACGUUCGAAUCGUGUCGGGUGCGCCA